GUGGAGCUGGUGGCGGCGCUCCGCAGGGGCUCGGCUGUUUUCCGCGCGGCAGGCGCGGCCAUGGCGCAGCUGGGAAAGCUGCUCAAGGAGCAGAAGUACGACCGGCAGCUGAGAGUCCAGAAAACCUUCUAGACAAUGAUCCCUCAUUUUUCUGUAGGUUUACUGUUGUAGUUGCAACUCAGCUUCCUGAAAGCACUUCACUACGCUUAGCAGAUGUCCUCUGGAAUUCCCAGAUUCCUCUUUUGAUCUGUAGGACAUAUGGACUAGUUGGUUAUAUGAGGAUCAUUAUAAAAGAACAUCCAGUAAUAGAAUCUCAUCCAGAUAAUGCAUUAGAGGAUCUACGACUAGAUAAGCCAUUUCCUGAACUGAGAGAACAUUUUCAGUCCUAUGAUUUGGAUCAUAUGGAAAAAAAGGACCACAGUCAUACUCCAUGGAUUGUGAUCAUAGCUAAAUAUUUAGCACAGUGGUAUAGUGAAACAAAUGGACGAAUACCUAAAACGUAUAAAGAAAAAGAGGACUUCAGAGAUUUGAUUAGACAAGGAAUUCUAAAAAAUGAAAAUGGGGCU
rnacentral:lncRNA from 1 species